UGCCUCUGAACUACUCACAAGCAAAAGAAAAGAAACAAGAAAGAGACUCCUGCCAGUGACCACGCCCACGCUUCCCGGCAGUCUGCAGCCCUCAUCAGUCAGGUAUGCUGUCUGCUCACCUGUGCGGCCUCCUCAGCAGCCAAGAGGCUCUCCAAACCGCAGCCACCUUCCUGCACCACUAGCAAGAUGACUUUCUACCAGACCUCGACGAAGACCUUAGCUCUUCACCAUCCAGGGUCUGAUGACGAUGCUGGGGAGAGAUUGCUCUGAGGAACCCCCAGCCACUGAGGCGAAGUCCCCAGAGAAAUAGCUGGCAGUUUGAAAGUCAAUGUUGGCCUUAAGACAACUGUGAAAUAUGUUUGGAAAUGGUCCUCACCAAACUUUUCUGGGAAGAAUUCAGGCUGCUAACAAUGCAAGAUCUAGCGAUAGAGUUAGCACCUCUGCCAUGCUGUUGGCUAAAGACACCCUGGGAAAGUUGCUCCCUUCAGCACAGGUCCUAGGAUGGGCACUCACAGAGACUUCAUUCUGUUUAGGUGAGACUGUAAUGACAAAAUUCCUGCAUGUCUUCCCAUCCGUCAAACCUAAUGCAUUUUGAGUAAUUACAACUUCAGUUGCCCUACCCACAGCACCCACAGUGCUGCCCCGUUCGAUCUGCACAGCCACACUAUGAGAUGGGUGUUACUAUUGGUCCAGUUUCCCAGUGGAGGAAAUGGAGAUGCAUCAGGGCAACACACAUGAGAAUAACUGGACCCAGUCUUAGAAGUAGAGACCCCUGACUUUGAAUCUUAACCAGGUGACUGUUUUGUAAAAAUGAUCAGGAACCAACAUUGAACUGCAGGCCAACAGCCUCAUCAAAAUGAGAGGAAGCAAUGUGAGAGACUAAUUGUCCAGCAGUUUGCAAACAUUUCCCCAGUCCUUCUUUCAUAACGACAUUGGCGGUAGACAUCAGAGCCUCAAAUGGGUGGUGGUGAGCAGAACCAGGACUUUCCUAUCUGGUCAGUUGGCUCAGUGCGUUCUAGGCCCGGUAUGUUGUCUCCUAGCUUCUGAUCCAGUGCUCGCUUCGAGAGGACAGCCAGAUUGAUAGAAACAUGGGGCUCACACUGAUUCCACUAGAAAGCCAAAGAUUGCAUGAAAACAUUUUUUGUUACCACAGUGGUGAGGAGGUUGUCUCUGGCAAUGGGACCUUGAAAUGGUGCUACUGAAUGGUGCAGUAAUUCCUGCCUCUCGAAAUAGAAAAAGCAGUCAGCUCUCCACCACUUCAACCACACGGAUUGGAAAGUAGCCUCGCUGGAACAGUCUUGGAGACAUAUACUUAUGCUUUUGAACCUCAAGGAGUACGCAAAGAAAUGGCAAUACAUCGUGGCAAAAGGUUUUGCCAUCUUUCAAGAAACAGUAUACAAGAGACUGGAUACUAGAGUGAAGGGCCAGGAGACAGUGGCUCUAAUGUGCUGAUAAUCUCAUAUUUCUGUUCCAAGAGAUAAUUUAUAAAGCUCCUUAACAGGUCUCAUUUCAAAAAAAUCUACUUCAGUUGAAGUUAAGAAAUAGAGGUUGACUUUAUUUUAUGUGAUUUACCUGGGCACCAAUAAAACAAAUCAGAGUCACUUUAGUGGGCCAAAGAACCAUGAACACUCUAGAAAAUAUUGGUGGAAAAUGCUUAAUAACCAGGUAAUGUAAAAUGACCCCAGAUGACUAUAAUUAACAUGGAAUAGCACAGAUCUUCCUGGCAGUCAGAAAAUGCCCAAGAGGCCAACAGGUGUGACCUUCAGCACCAGCUACUGUGCAAACAAAUGUUCUGCAAGGCUUCAUUUCAUUUUCAUACUGUUGGAAGACGGCAUUUUUAGUCACACGGUGGAGAAUGAUUAACCAAAACAAUUCCUUUGAACCAAAUAAGUGUGAACAGCUCUGCAAUUUAAAACAAAACACAAAAAACUGACAACUUGGUUUAGUGUUUCUUUGUUGGUUCAUUUUUAUUUUUUAAAUAAGGGGAUUUUUCAGAGCAUAACAAGCUUUUGCUUGUUUUCACGAAAUAUUACCCUAUGGUUCCAUGCAGAAAAGUAAAAGCUUUCAAAAGUUUAUGUGAUGUGAUUAGCAAUGUAGAAAUAAAAAAUAAUUGACUACAAGUAAGAGGAUGUAUCUGAUAAUGAUUUCUGGUAGCAUACUUUGAAGCUGAAUAGAAAUGUAUAUAUGUAAAUUUAGAAAGCUUCCACUUUGAAAUUUGAGAGCCGUAAUUCCCUAGUAAAAGUCACUUGUUUGGCAAGGGAUAUUUUGAUCUCUGAGCUAGGUGAUACAGGAAAUCAUUUCCUGCUCACCUUAGCGGCCACUAUCAGCACCCUCCCUAAAAGUGUGGGUGGAGAGGUGUAGAAAGAGGGAAGUAAAGACUUGUGCUCCUCCCAAGUGCCAUGGUCCACGCAGCUCUGGAAUUCCCCAGGGCGAGGACCGUGGAGGGGCAAGAAGGUGAUGAAAUGAAGAGGAGAUUUGGAAAGCUCGGAUCAGGUGGAGCCCUCUCUCUGGAUGGGAGAAAAGAACUGCUCAGCCAUAGCCGCAUUUAUUUACACAUUUGGCAGAUUAGUAUCACAUAACACCCCUUUGCCUGCCAACCUGCCUGCAUGGCAUCCUCGGGGCCCUAGGGUUCUCUGGACUGGAGCAGCUUGUUCCCAUGGCUUGCCUCAGACGCUCUUUGUUCUCAGGACUGAAUUGGCCUCGCUCUAGCCCUGCAGUCUGAUCCAUCUCCAGCUGCACCUGCUCCCAACAUCUCCUCCUUUUCUGUUUUUGUAGUUGCAAUCAAUGGGUCUCCAAAAGAAGUUGGAGGAGUUGUGUUUGGAGGAUUCUGCUGAUGAUUCUCUUUCUGGUGAUUAUAUUUUUCUGCUGGAUAUUCAAGACCAAGUGAAAGUGAGACUUGUAUUAAUUAAAAUUAAUCUUUUGGAAUUUAUCAAGGAAA